rnacentral:lncRNA from 1 species
UUUUUUUUACAUUUUGGUAUUUGAAUUUUUUUUAUCCAAUUAGAUGAUUAAAUAAAAAGUGACUUCCAAAAUCCUACAAUGAACAAGAAGAAAAAGAGACUUAAAUUAGAAUUAAACAAUAAUUAAAUUAAGUGUUAAAAUCAAUCUAAUAACUAAUCAAAAAAUAUUCUAAAAAUUAGAAACCCAAAAAUGAUAGAAACCAAAUCAAAUUCAAAAGCCCAGCAAAAAUAAAAAGCAAAGCAAAUUCAGAACAGUGGAGGAGUGAGUCACGCAAACAACAUCCACGAUAUUAAGAGCUAAGACGAUGGCUUGGGACAACGAAAUCGCAAGAACAACAACAGAGUUGUGUGAACGAUAUGAGUCUUGGGGAAAAAGAAUCAUGCGAAUGGUAGAGGUGGUGUUGUGGGGGUGGAACUGACAAACCACAAAUCUAAAAGCAAAAAACUCAUAGGAAAAGAGAAGAGAAAAUAAGAGUAAGAGAGAGAAAAGAGAGAGACAAUGUUCACAAUACUCAAUUCAUGCCUUCUCUUUGUUACAACCAUUGGUUAAAAAGAAAAGGAAGAAAGGGAAAACAAUAAUGACUCCAAAGUUGGCUACUACCAAAGCUGACUUGGAUCAAAAUGCUCCGUUUCACUAAAGCUUCUAUAUGCCAAUUUCACUAAGAUCAAAACACCCCGUUUCACUAAAACUUUUAUACACCCUAUUUCACUUGGAACUACUACACACCGUUUUUACUAUAUUUUUUAACUCAUAACGAUUACUCCUCUCCUACAACAAUCCUUGUCCUCAAGGAUCAAAUUGAGGAAAUUUGGCUCUAAUUUGCUCAAGGGAUUCCCAAGUAGCAUCUUCAGGAAAAGAAUUGGCCCAUUCCACCAGAAUCUCAAUAGCUGCAUGAUUUCCCUUCUGUACCAUACAACGGUCCAAAAGAUGAGUUGGUUCUUUGGCCCAUGCUCCACUAGCAUUUACCACAAGUAACACAUUCUACACAGGAGCCACUCCCACAUGCUUCUUAAGCUACGAGACAUGAAAUGUAGGAUGCACUCUUAAGCUAGGAGGAAGUUGUAACCUAUAUGUUACCUUUCCUACUCGAGCUACUACUGGAAAAGGCCCAAAAUACUUGGGAGACAACUUCUAAUUCCAUCUUCUUUUGCCAAAGUGUUGCCUGUAAGGUUGCAGCCUCAGAUAAACCAAAUCACCUUCCUUAAA